AUUGAACGCUGGCGGCAUGCCUAACACAUGCAAGUCGGACGAGUGGCGGACGGGUGAGUAAUGUCUCGGAAACUUCCGAAUGAUGGGGGAUAACUGUUUGAAACGUCAGCUAAUACCGCAUACCAUCAGAUCGGCCGAUGUUUGCUUAGCUGGUUGGUGGGGUAACGGCCCACCUAGGCGACGAUCCCUAGCUGGUCUGAGAGGAUGACCAGCCACACUGGAAGUGAGACACGGUCCAGACUCCUACGGGAGGCAGCAGUGGGGAAUAUUGCACAAUGGGCGCAAGCCUGAUGGAGCCAUGCCGAGGGUGUGAAGAAGGCCUUCGGGUUGUAAAGCACUUUCAGCGGGGAGGCGUUACCCGCAGGAGAAGCACCGGCUAACUCCGUGCCAGCAGCCGCGGUAAGUC
rnacentral:rRNA from 1 species